rnacentral:rRNA from 1 species
AUUGAACGCUGGCGGCAUGCUUUACACAUGCAAGUCGAACGGUAACAGGCCGCAAGGUGCUGACGAGUGGCGAACGGGUGAGUAAUGCAUCGGAACGUGCCCAGUCGUGGGGGAUAACGCAGCGAAAGCUGCGCUAAUACCGCAUACGAUCUCUGGAUGAAAGCGGGGGACCGAAAGGCCUCGCGCGAUUGGAGCGGCCGAUGUCAGAUUAGGUAGUUGGUGGGGUAAAGGCCCACCAAGCCAACGAUCUGUAGCUGGUCUGUGAGGACGACCAGCCACACUGGGACUGAGACACGGCCCAGACUCCUACGGGAGGCAGCAGUGGGGAAUUUUGGACAAUGGGCGCAAGCCUGAUCCAGCAAUGCCGCGUGCAGGAAGAAGGCCUUCGGGUUGUAAACUGCUUUUGUACGGAACGAAACGGUCCGGGCUAAUACCCUGGGCUAAUGACGGUACCGUAAGAAUAAGCACCGGCUAACUACGUGCCAGCCGCCGCGGUAAAAC